rnacentral:rRNA from 1 species
GAUGAACGCUGGCGGCGUGCCUAAUACAUGCAAGUCGAGCGAACGGACGAGAAGCUUGCUUCUCUGAUGUUAGCGGCGGACGGGUGAGUAACACGUGGAUAACCUACCUAUAAGACUGGGAUAACUUCGGGAAACCGGAGCUAAUACCGGAUAAUAUUUUGAACCGCAUGGUUCAAAAGUGAAAGACGGUCUUGCUGUCACUUAUAGAUGGAUCCGCGCUGCAUUAGCUAGUUGGUAAGGUAACGGCUUACCAAGGCAACGAUGCAUAGCCGACCUGAGAGGGUGAUCGGCCACCCUGGAACUGAGACACGGUCCAGACUCCUACGGGAGGCAGCAGUAGGGAAUCUUCCGCAAUGGGCGAAAGCCUGACGGAGCAACGCCGCGGGAGUGAUGAAGGUCUGCGGAUCGUAAAACUCUGUUAUUAGGGAAGAACAUAUGUGUAAGUAACUGUGCACAUCUUGACGGUACCGAAGCAGAAAGCCACGGCUAACUACGU